rnacentral:rRNA from 1 species
CCUACGGGAGGCAGCAGUGGGGAAUAUUGGGCAAUGGAGGAAACUCUGACCCAGCGACGCCGCGUGCGGGAUGAAGGCCUUCGGGUUGUAAACCGCUUUCAGCAAGGAAGAAGCGAAAGUGACGGUACUUGCAGAAGAAGCACCGGCUAACUAUGUGCCAGCAGCCGCGGUAAUACAUAGGGUGCAAGCGUUGUCCGGAAUUAUUGGGCGUAAAGAGCUCGUAGGUGGUUCGUCACGUCGGAUGUGAAAAUCUGGGGCUUAACCCCAGACCUGCAUUCGAUACGGGCGAGCUAGAGUGUGGUAGGGGAGACUGGAAUUCCUGGUGUAGCGGUGGAAUGCGCAGAUACCAGGAGGAACACCAAUGGCGAAGGCAGGUCUCUGGGCCAUUACUGACACUGAGGAGCGAAAGCGUGGGGAGCGAACAGGAUUAGAUACCCUGGUAGUCCACGCCGUAAACGGUGGGCACUAGUUGUGGGAACCUUCCACGGUUUCUGCGACGCAGCUAACGCAUUAAGUGCCCCGCCUGGGGAGUACGAUCGCAAGAUUAAAACUCAAAUGAAUUGACGG